GACGAACGCUGGCGGCGUGCCUAAUACAUGCAAGUUGAGCGCUGAAGGUUGGUACUUGUACCAACUGGAUGAGCAGCGAACGGGUGAGUAACGCGUGGGGAAUCUGCAUUUGAGCGGGGGACAACAUUUGGAAACGAAUGCUAAUACCGCAUAAAAACUUUAAACACAAGUUUUAAGUUUGAAAGAUGCAAUUGCAUCACUCAAAGAUGAUCCCGCGUUGUAUUAGCUAGUUGGUGAGGUAAAGGCUCACCAAGGCGAUGAUACAUAGCCGACCUGAGAGGGUGAUCGGCCACAUUGGGACUGAGACACGGCCCAAACUCCUACGGGAGGCAGCAGUAGGGAAUCUUCGGCAAUGGACGAAAGUCUGACCGAGCAACGCCGCGUGAGUGAAGAAGGUUUUCGGAUCGUAAAACUCUAUUGGUAGAGAAGAACGUUGGUGAGAGUGGAAAGCUCAUCAAGUGACGGUAACUACCCAGAAAGGGACGGCUAACUACGUG
rnacentral:rRNA from 1 species